rnacentral:rRNA from 1 species
AUUGAACGCUGGCGGAAUGCUUUACACAUGCAAGUCGAACGGCAGCACGGGUGCUUGCACCUGGUGGCGAGUGGCGAACGGGUGAGUAUUAUAUCGGAACGUGUCCAAUAAUGGGGGAUAACAUAUCGAAAGAUGUGCUAAUACCGCAUACGCCCUACGGGGGAAAGCUGGGGAUCGUAAGACCUAGCGUUGAUGGAGCGGCCGAUAUCGGAUUAGCUAGUUGGUGGGGUAAAGGCUCACCAAGGCGACGAUCCGUAGCUGGUCUGCGAGGACUGCCAGCCACACUUGAACUGAGACACGGUCCAGACUCCUACGGGAGGCAGCAGUGGGGAAUUUUGGACGAUGGGGGCAACCCUGAUUCAGCCAUUCCGCGUGAGUGAAGAAGGCCUUCGGGUUGUAAAGCUCUUUCGCAAGGGAAGAAAACUUACAUUCUAAUAAAGUGUGAGGUUGACGGUACCUUGAUAAGAAGCACCGGCUAACUACGUGCCAGCCGCCGCUGUAAUAC